rnacentral:rRNA from 1 species
GACGAACGCUGGCGGCGUGCUUAACACAUGCAAGUCGAACGGAAAUUCCCUGCUUUUGUGGGGUGCUCUAGUGGCGAACGGGUGAGUAACACGUGAGUAACCUGCCCUUGACUUUGGGAUAACUUCAGGAAACUGGGGCUAAUACCGGAUAGGAGCUCCUGCUGCAUGGUGGUGGUUGGAAAGUUUCGGCGGUUGGGGCUGGACUCGCGGCUUAUCAGCUUGUUGGUGGGGUAGUGGCUUACCAAGGCUUUGACGGGUAGCCGGCCUGAGAGGGUGACCGGCCACAUAGGGACUGAGAAACGGCCCAGACUCCUACGGGAGGCAGCAGUGGGGAAUAUUGCAAAAUGGGCGGAAGCCUGAUGCAGCAACGCCGCGUGCGGGAUGACGGCCUUCGGGUUGUAAACCGCUUUCGCCGGUGACGAAGCGUGAGUGACGGUAAUGGGUAAAGAAGCACCGGCUAACUACGUG